rnacentral:lncRNA from 1 species
CGAUAUUGUGGUCGGUAACAAUCACUUUAGGCAUCUCAUCUCGGUCCUUCAACAUUGUCUGACACACCUCUAAGACCCAAGUAACAUCCUCCUCUUUCUCGCUCUCUAAAAAUGCAAACUCAGUGAAUAGGUCUUCUUAGUUGAGGUAACACCAACCAUCUUCAAUAAUGGAAGUCUAUAUUUGUUGGUUUGCACGUUGAACAAAGUAUGAGCACGGUAGGAAACGUGUUGAACAACUUUGAGGAAUCAAGAUGAGUCCA